GGAUAACAUGCCCUAAAGCGGGGGAUAAUCUCGGGAAAUUGAGGAUAAUACCCCAUAGAUCAUAGGAUCUGGAAUGACUUAUGGUCGAAAGUUCUGGCGCUUUAGGAUUGGUCUGCGGCCUAUCAGGUUGUAGUGGGUGUAACGGACCCACUAGCCGACGACGGGUAUGGGCCUUGAGAGAGGGAGCCCAGAGAUGGAUUCUGAGACACGAAUCCAGGCCCUACGGGGCGCAGCAGUCGCGAAAACUUCACACUGGAGGCAACUCCGAUGAGGGAAUUCCUAGUGCUAGCACAUUAGUGUUAGCUUUUCUUAAGCGUAGAUAACUUAAGGAAUAAGGGCUGGGUAAGACGGGUGCCAGCCGCCGCGGUAAUACCCGCAGCCCAAGUGGUGGUCGAUUUUAUUGAGUCUAAAACGUUCGUAGCCGGUUUGGUAAAUCCUUGGGUAAAUCGAGAGGCUUAACCUUUCGAAUUCCGAGGAGACUGCCAAACUUGGGACCGGGAGAGGCGAGAGGUACUUCUGGGGUAGGGGUAAAAUCCUGUAAUCCUAGAAGGACCACCGGUGGCGAAGGCGUCUCGCUAGAACGGAUCCGACGGUGAGGGACGAAGCCCUGGGUCGCAAACGGGAUUAGAUACCCCGGUAGUCCAGGGUGUAAACGCUGCAGACUUGGUGUUGGGGGCC
rnacentral:rRNA from 1 species